rnacentral:rRNA from 1 species
GACGUAGGGCGCGAGCGUUGUCCGGAUUUAUUGGGCGUAAAGAGCUCGUAGGCGGUCUGUCGCGUCUGCUGUGAAAACUCAGGGCUUAACCCUGAGCUUGCAGUGGGUACGGGCAGACUAGAGUGCGGUAGGGGAGACUGGAAUUCCUGGUGUAGGCGGUGAAAUGCGCAGAUAUCAGGAGGAACACCGGUGGCGAAGGCGGGUCUCUGGGCCGUAACUGACGCUGGAGGAG